GAGUUGGAUAAUAAAGAGCAUGGAAAGCCAUCGAAAAAAUUUGAAGAUGCACAAUUGGAAGCAUUGCUUGACGAAGAUGUAUGUCAAAAAAAAAAAAAUUGGCAACAGCAUUAAAUGUUACCCAACAAUGCAUUUCCUUAUGUCUGCAUGCAAUGGGAAUAGUUCAAAAGCAAGGAAAUUGGGUGCCACACGAAUUGAAAGAAAGAGACGAAAGAAAAACCAUGUGUGAAUUGUUGCUGUAAC